rnacentral:lncRNA from 1 species
GUGAUUCAGAGCUGAGAGAUUCGAGAUCAACUCAAGACCCCCAAUUGUAUUGCCCAAGGAGCCAGGGAGAUGCUGUAUGUGUGGUCUUUUAUCCGAACUAUAGGAUUCCAAGGGAGAUACUAUCAUCCCAUCUCAUACAGAAAUAAGAGUGGCAGGGAAAAGAGAAGUCUGAAGUACAUGAAAACACGGGCUUCGGAGCUAGAGGAAGCUGGCCUUCUUAAAUACCGUCUCCCACUUCCAUGCUGUGACCUUGAUAAACCUAUUCAAGAUACCCACCUUGCUGAUUAGAAAAAAGAUUAAGAUGAAAUGGACUCGGCGCACCUGGUAGGCACUCCCCUUAAUGAUUACAACUGAAGAACUAUCUCAGAGGUUUCUGACCUAGGGCUAAAUUGCUUUCACUCUCUAAUGACUAAUGGAUUGGCGGGAUGGUCUAAGCUUUUGUCCUGGCCACCUGAACUGCUCAGCCCUGGGAGUCUUGACAAGCAAUUUCCUUGGAAUUAGCUUAAUAAUGCCUCGUAGGUGUGUGAUGCAUUUCAAAGAACUUUCCCAUCAUUAUCUUGGGUCCUAGCCGGCAGCUGGGCUCAGAGAGAAGUGGCUUGCUCCAGGUCACAUGGCACAUGAGCCUGCAGCUUUCCCUGGUGUUAACUUCUAAGUGAACAGAAGGCAGACUACUGUGGUAGAGUAAAAAAGGUCCCUCAGAACUGAGGCUCACUGGAGGCACAGUCUGUAGCCUGCAGUACUCAGCAAGUCCGGGAUUUUCACCCUCGAUGGGCUGUAUCCAGAGAACACAGCACAGCCUAACACACCAUCCAAGGUGGAGAUAACCAGUCUUAAGGUUAUUUGGGGCAAGGGUUUCUCACAUGGGAACUCCCGACCUCCAGAAGGUUGGAGGUCUGCUAUUACUCUUAAAAAAUUCAUGUGUGCCUUCGGAAGGAUGCUCAUAUCGUCCUUCAACUCAUCAGAGGAAAUCAGGACCCAGAUCAGGAUUAAAAACUAUUCAUCAGACUGUAGGAUGAUUGGCAAAGACAGAGGUUGCACCCCCCCCCUUUGACCCUGGUUCACCCCAAAAGGCUUACUAGGGUUAAUGCACAAAGGGUAAUGACAUGACCCUUUUGUUAUGAAAUAUUAGUAACUAUGCCAAGACCCAACACACAGAGAUCAUAUAAACAGGAAUUCAGUGAGGCCAGGAGCCUGGUGCAUCCCACCUGGGGAGGCACCGUGUUGGGGGUGAAUAGAUGGGACAUGGGCUGAUGUCUUUUUCUUUGCUGGCCAGUAAGAUCCUAGUCAUGCCCAACAAAAUCCUAGUCAGUUUUCUCAAACUCACAGGUCAAAGUUAAAAGUUUAGAGCUCGAAGGGAACGUGCAGCAUUGCUUCCCAGCUAGCCUGCAUCUCCGACAGAGGCUGAAGAUUUGAGAGACCCUGGUUUUGGUUUGGUUUUUCCAAUACAGGCUCUUACUAUGUAGCUCUGGUUGUCCUGGAACUCACUACCUACGUAGGCUUGCCUCAAAUUCAGAGAAAUGCCUAUCUCUGCCUCCCAAGUGCUGGAAUUAAAGGUGUGUUAUCGCUAUGCGCAGCAAUUGAGGGUUUUUUGGUUUUGGAAGUCUAGAAGGAAGCUAGACCAGAAAGCAUGAGGGAACUGAGACCAGGCCUGGCAGUCAGUUUAUUCAU